GUUCCUGUAGUGCAAUGGAUAGCACGCUGGACUUUUAAUCCAAAGGCGUGUGUUCGAAUCCCACCUGGGAUG